AACGAACGCUGGCGGCAGGCCUAACACAUGCAAGUCGAACGCCGUAGCAAUACGGAGUGGCAGACGGGUGAGUAACGCGUGGGAACGUGCCCUUCAGUUCGGGAUAACCCAGGGAAACUUGGACUAAUACCGGAUACGUGCGAGAGCAGAAAGAUUUAUCGCUGAAGGAUCGGCCCGCGUCCGAUUAGCUAGUUGGUAGGGUAAUGGCCUACCAAGGCGACGAUCGGUAGCUGGUCUGAGAGGACGGACCAGCCACACUGGGACUGAGACACGGCCCAGACUCCUACGGGAGGCAGCAGUGGGGAAGUAUUGGACAAUGGGCGGCAAGCCUGAUCCAGCGAUGCCGCGUGUGUGAAGAAGGCCUGCGGGUUGUAAAGCACUUUCAGUAGGGAAGAAAAGACCGAGUGCUAAUAUCACUCGGUCUUGACGUUACUUA
rnacentral:rRNA from 1 species